rnacentral:rRNA from 1 species
UACAGAGGGUGCGAGCGUUAAUCGGAAUUACUGGGCGUAAAGUGCACGUAGGUGGCGACGUAUGUCGGUUGUGAAAGCCCCGGGCUCAACCUGGGAAUUGCAUCCGAAACUGCGUUGCUGGAGUACGGAAGAGGAAGGCGGAAUUCCCGGUGUAGCGGUGAAAUGCGUAGAUAUCGGGAGGAACAUCAGUGGCGAAGGCGGCCUUCUGGUCCAGUACUGACACUCAAGUGCGAAAGCGUGGGGAGCAAACAGG